CAUGGAGCACAUGCAGAGCAGUCUCAAAAUUGCAGGAUUUAAAAAAAUUAACCUAGUAAACUCAUUCCAAAAUGUAUACACAGGAGAAAGUUUGUUUUAAAAAGUGAAGUCUGUUUUGAAGAAGCCAAGCAAAAGUCAACUUGCCCUAACAGAGGCAAACUACCCUGCAAAGCCACAGUGAUUAAAAGAUAGGCUGGCCCAGAAACCGCAUAUGGGUCUAAACACCCUCCCAGGCUGGGCACAGGGCAGCUGCCCUCUUCAUGCAGGCAGUGAGUGCCAAGCACAGACUCCGUCCCGGCCCUGAACCCCGUGCUGAUCACAAGGGUGAGCCCAACAGACACAAGCCUGCUCGUGUACUCAUGUUCCCAGUACAGGGGGGACAGAGGGGCAGAACAAAAGAAUCUCACAGUCAGUUUGGAACCUUGAUCAUGAGCUGUGAUAAGAAAGAGGGAGGUAGUCAAGGAAGGCUUCCUGGGAGAGGCAGCAUUUGCUGAAGGAUGAGUGUACAGCAGUGAGGGUGGACAGCAAGAGUGUUCCAGGAUGGAGAGGGGUGUACAGGGUCUUGCCCAGGGGCAGGAGGGUGGAAUGAAUUUGGAGAGGUGAGGCAGGACCCACCGUCUUGGGAGGAGCCUGGAGAUCCUAAGGGCUGGCUCUCUACAUGCCCAUUUAACCCCAUGAACAUUCUGUGGGGCAGCCUUUCCUUCCCACAGUGGCCUCCCAAAUCAUAAUAAACUCAUAGGGUUUUAGAGCCAAAGGCUCAUACUCCAGAUAGGGCAACAGAGGCCCAGAGAGAUGAGAUGGCUUGUGGAGGAGGCAGGGAAGAGGGUCUUAACAGACUGAGCACCAGCUCCUAGGCCUCCUAGCCUCCGGAUGAUCCAGGGCCAUGGCCUCCUUGGCCCUGGUGCCCCAGCAAGUGGGAACCCAGCCUGAUCCCCUCUCAGGAGCCCAGAGCCUUGACUUUAGGCAAAGCUACUCCGGGGUUUAAAUACUAUCAUUGAUUAUUGUAAGUGAGCUUAUGAGCCUUAUCGGCUUAGAAUUGUAUCUGCAGG
rnacentral:lncRNA from 1 species